rnacentral:rRNA from 1 species
CAGCAGUGGGGAAUCUUGGACAAUGGGGCAACCCUGAUCCAGCCAUGCCGCGUGAGUGAUGAAGGCCUUAGGGUCGUAAAAGCUCUUUCGCCUGUGAAGAUAAUGACGGUAGCAGGUAAAGAAAACCCCGGCUAACUCCGUGCCAGCAGCCGCGGUAAUACGGAGGGGUUAGCGUUGUUCGGAAUUACUGGGCGUAAAAGCGCACGUAGGCGGAUCGGAAAAGUUGGGUGAAAAUCCCGGGCUCAAACCCCGGAACGGCCUACCAAAAAACUAUCGGUCUAGAGUUCGAGAGAGGUGAGUGGAAUUCCGAGUGUAGAGGUGAAAUUCGUAGAUAUUCGGAGGAACACCAGUGGCGAAGGCGGCUCACUGGCUCGAUACUGACGCUGAGGUGCGAAAGUGUGGGGAGCAAACAGGAUUAGAUACCCGGUAG